rnacentral:rRNA from 1 species
GAUGAACGCUGGCGGCGUGCCUAAUACAUGUAAGUCGAGCGAACCUCUUCGGAGGUUAGCGGCGGACGGGUGAGUAACACGUGGGUAACCUGCCUGUAAGACUGGGAUAACUUCGGGAAACCGAAGCUAAUACCGGAUACUUUUUUGAGUCGCAUGACUCGAAAUGGAAAGACGGCUUCGGCUGUCACUUACAGAUGGACCCGCGUCGCAUUAGCUAGUUGGUGAGGUAACGGCUCACCAAGGCGACGAUGCGUAGCCGACCUGAGAGGGUGAUCGGCCACACUGGGACUGAGACACGGCCCAGACUCCUACGGGAGGCAGCAGUAGGGAAUCUUCGGCAAUGGGCGAAUGCCUGACCGAGCAACGCCGCGUGAGUGAUGAAGGCUUUCGGGUCGUAAAACUCUGUUGUUAGGGAAGAACAAGUACGAGAGUAACUGCUCGUACCUUGACGGUACCUAACCAGAAAGCCACGGCUAACUACGUGCCAGCCGCCGCAGUAAGAC